GGGCAAGUAGCAUCUGUCUUUUUUGUUUAUCACUGUCACCUAAAACCCAUCACUAGUAUCUGACAUAUUAUCAUAUAAUCAUAAUAAAUAUGAAUCAAUACAUAUUCAACUUUGCUAUCAAUUUGAUGUCAUCUAUAUUAUAACUCAUGCAAAGUCCUCAAAUUUCUGAUCCACUGAUAAAAUCCCUCUCUCUUGUCCUCACUUCUUUCUCAUUUUUCUAUUUUCUUAUCUUGCAGAUGGAUUUGGGAAAUGAGGGGAAGUAUACAAAUAUGCUUAUUUAUUCUGAAGCAGGUAUCAGUAAGUACCCUGAAAUAUUUUACUGUGGCAUUUGUCACUCCCAUUCAAAAUUUAGCUCCUACUUUAUAUUUUUCAAAUAAAUAAUUAUAUAGACAUACUCAAACUAAUCAAUAACAAAUACUCUGUAAGUUUUACUGUGAGCUACAAAUGAAUGUUUAAAAUCAUUAGCAUCAUUAAGAAAAACAAAUCAGAAUAUAAUAAAUAUACCUAUUUUUUUCAAAAUAAAUAAAGUUGU